UGCAGUCGAGCGGAGAGAGGUAGCUUGCUACUGAUCUUAGCGGCGGACGGGUGAGUAAUGCUUAGGAAUCUGCCUAUUAGUGGGGGACAACAUCUCGAAAGGGAUGCUAAUACCGCAUACGUCCUACGGGAGAAAGCAGGGGAUCUUCGGACCUUGCGCUAAUAGAUGAGCCUAAGUCGGAUUAGCUAGUUGGUGGGGUAAAGGCCUACCAAGGCGACGAUCUGUAGCGGGUCUGAGAGGAUGAUCCGCCACACUGGGACUGAGACACGGCCCAGACUCCUACGGGAGGCAGCAGUGGGGAAUAUUGGACAAUGGGGGGAACCCUGAUCCAGCCAUGCCGCGUGUGUGAAGAAGGCCUUAUGGUUGUAAAGCACUUUAAGCGAGGAGGAGGCUACUUUAGUUAAUACCUAGAGAUAGUGGACGUUACUCGCAGAAUAAGCACCGGCUAACUCUGUGCCAGCAGCCGCGGUAAUACAGAGGGUGCAAGCGUUAAUCGGAUUUACUGGGCGUAAAGCGCGCGUAGGCGGCUAAUUAAGUCAAAUGUGAAAUCCCCGAGCUUAACUUGGGAAUUGCAUUCGAUACUGGUUAGCUAGAGUGUGGGAGAGGAUGGUAGAAUUCCAGGUGUAGCGGUGAAAUGCGUAGAGAUCUGGANGAAUACCGAUGGCGAANGCAGCCAUCUGGCCUAACACUGACGCUGANGUGCGAAAGCAUGGGGGANCAAACAGGAUUAGAUACCCUGGUAGUCCAUGCCGUAAACGAUGUCUACUAGCCGUUGGGGNCUUUGANGCUUUANUGGNGCAGCUAACGCGAUAAGUA
rnacentral:rRNA from 1 species